UCACUCUCUCUCACACAGAUUCUCCUUCACGACCAAACCUCAUCUCUCUUUAAACCCAUUCCUCUCCCUCUUUAAAAUACACAGAACAGAACCACCGCCUCCCCUUCCCUCUGGCGACGCGCCUCCUCCUCACCUACUUUACCACUAGAACCACCGUCUCUCCCUACAUCUUCUAUUUCAUCUCUCUCUCUCUCUCUCUCUCUCUCUCUGUCUCUCACACACACACACACACACACACAGAGUUCAGAUCGUAAACCCUAGCCGAUGCUGUGAGAUACGGCGGCGUCAGCCAUGUUCCGGCGUAGGUCUGACAACCGUAGGUCGAGAUCUGAGUCGAUCCACACAGAUCUGUGAGUGAUCCACACAGAUUGUAGAUCCAUACCCCAUCUCUGUUACAGCUAAUUACCCUUUCCAUGGAAGUAGUAGAGUCUUCUUCUUCAUCUUCCCUCUCUGCAUCAGACAGAAUUCAUCAACUACCUGGCCAACCCCAAGUCAGUCACCAGCAAUUUUCUGGGUAUGUGACCGUUGAUGCCAAGAAACAGAAAGCUCUAGUUCUUGAAGCUAAAUCAAAUCCGGCUUUCAAGCUUCUUGUUAUCUGGUUAAAUGGAGGGCCAGGUUGUUCUUCAUUGGGGGUUGGGGCAUUUUCUGAAAAUGGACCGUUUAGGCCUAGUGGGAAGGCACUGGUCAGGAAUGAAUAUAGCUGGAACAGAGGUAUGCAUUAGAUGAUGUUUGUGCAUCUCAGUUUGUGGGAAAAUGUGAAAAAUAUAUUUAUGGCAUCUGGUGGACACUCUAAGCAUGGAAUGUCCACGGUUGAAGAAGAGUUCAUGGCAGGGGUUUUAAAUCAUCUUCCUUCAAUUCUGGCCUUUACGGCACCACUUCCAAACAGUUAUGAUCACAUAGUGCCCAAUGUGUGGAGUGGAGCAUGCCAGUGCUAGGGAAAAGAGAACAGAGAAGCACCCCUGAGAACUGCAUGCCCACCUGGGGUUCCAAAUGGUGUUGUGAGCAACUUUGAGAUUAAAGCAUUUGAUGGGUGUGCAAAUCCACACUUGGGGCUGGCUGCUAUAAUUGCUGCUGGGAUUGAUGGCCUUUGUAGACAUCUGAGUUUGCCCGAACCCAUUGGAAUGGUGUGAAAAACAAAUGGAAUUCUCUCUACUGUUUGGCAAAUCGGAAAAGACUAAAGCAAUGAAAGCUGGUAUUGCUCGCCAUGCAGUACUUGAGGAAGAGAUGGAUGAAUUCAUGCAUGAAGCUGAAUUGUACAGGAUUAGUUGGCACUUGUUACAUUUUUUAAAAGAUUAUAUAUUUUUGGAUAGAUGUGUAUAGAAAAUAUUUGGAUAGACUAGUAGUUAUAUUUUUAGAUAGAUGAGCAUGGAUUAAAAUUUAAAAUAUAAUAAAAAGUACUUGUUAUGUUUUAAAUUUUUUUAUGUUAGAUGGACAUGAAUUGGAUGAUUAUAUAGAUUACAUGACUUUUAAUUGAAUGGUUAUGUAGUUUGAAAUUACUUGUGGAUGUAAACUUAUAAUAAUUGAUGAC